GAGUGUGACAGGGAGCUGCAGGCUGUCCCUGCUGGGUACAGACUGGCACAGGCGAAGAAGGGCCGUGACAGAGCUAACAAGAUGGGGCUCCGGGCAGAGAGAGGCGAUGGUGGCUCCCUGUGCCUCAAGGAACGCCAAGCUUUCCAUGGAUCCAUCUGCUUGUGGUUAGAAUAUGGCUGUCAACAGGCUUCUUCAUCAGCACCCAAGAAGUGAGUGAGGGGAACCUUCUGGAAGCUUCCAGAAGACUCAUCAAACUUCCCUUCACACCCAAUUGGUUUCGAUAGCUAUGGGUCCUUCCUGGACCCUCAGCUGUGGCCAGGGGUUAGGUUAUACUUGUUAACUUAGCCGGAGUCAUCGGUGCUGUUCUGAAAUCACAUUCCUCUAAAGCAUGUGGAUGGCACUGAGGACCUGUGGUUUAGUAGAAUGAAAUUCGAAGUAGUUGCCAAGAAAAGGGAAAUGUUUGCAAAGGAGUGACUCAGUGCAAGCAUUGAAAAUCACCCUCAAAUAAAGGGCAAGAAUUUAUUACACAAAUGCAGACUGGUUUCAUGGAACCCAAGGACGGAGCUGCAGGGUGCAGGGGCCGGGCCGGAAUCAAGAACCAGAGAAGCAUCAGAAGCCAAGACCCUCAUCCUCUUCCCUCCCGUCCCUUCUCCUGCCCCUUCUUUCCUGCCUUCCUCCACUGACUGGGAGUCCAUGACUUCUAACUGGUCAUGGCCGCGGGAAACUGUCCACUCAGGUCAGCUUGAGUCUGGAGUGGAGGUGGGCAGCGUGGGUUGCUGACCCACCCACGUGGUGGUGUGGGGAGAGACAGGGGCCUCGAGCUCUGGAACAGUUGUCCUCAGGGCAGCCCUCAGCUGGGACGUGGUUGUUGGGGGCACCUUCUGCCAGGACCCCUGGCCCUCGCAAUUCGAGGUCUGGCCUGUGGAGGAGAAAGACAUUUGGAAGGGAGGAAGCAGAAGGAGUGGUAAGAAGGGAAUUCUGGCUUCUACAUAGCUCCAAUGGGAAUUUGAGGAAAUCCUCCCUCGCAGCCUUAAAACCGAGAGGAGAUACUUGGUGAUUCACAGGCUGACUUUUGUAGAGUCUGAAGCGGGGACGUGGCAGCGUGACUGAGGGGUGUGCCACAGCGAUCCCUCAGACCCGAAUCUCCGGAUGUUUGCAGCGGUGCCAGGGCUGGGCAGUCUCCCCUGCGACACAGCGCGUUCCCGGGCUUCUGGGCUCAGGUGCCGGCUGUUUGCUUCCUGCAGCCUCACCUCCUCCAGAAGGGGUUCCAUUUAGAGACACCCAAGGCUACUCGGGUUCACUGGCCCAUUGCGGGCCUUGGAGCUGCCCUGGGUGGUUUGGAAACAGGUGAGUCGGCACUGGCCCACACCAGCAUGACUGACAGCAA
ensembl:lncRNA